CGUUCACACUCAUACAGCUGCAACCCAAGGUGCUAACCAGAUCACUGGGAGAAACACAGUAUGGGCUUCAGUGUUUUUGGAAAAGGAUCAAAAUCUGCAAUCAGAACUGGGUCUUCGCUUGGGUGGAUUUAACAAAGCUUCCACCCAGUCCACUCUUUCCAGCACGUCUCACGUCAGGCUUACACUCUUCAGAAUCCUUAACUGUGAUCCCUCCGCUGCGUAAAGAGCGGCAGGAGAUCAUCAGAAACUCCCCCCUGAGUUGUUGGUGGGACUGUCAGCACACAGAAACCCCACCCCAUGUUCCCCUCCCCAUUGCCCCUUGCAUUUUCUGUCACAUAUAUGCAGGUUUUCUAACGGCUUCUUUUCAUCUGCUCCUGAUUCACAACAAUUUGAAUAAAAAAAUACUGAGAAAUGCAUUUUAAUUUUCUUUAUGUAUGUCCUCCAUCCUUGGAAAAAUGCCACAAGAGCAUCAUAAAAGCAAAGAUUUUCAAGAUUCAUUGUCUUAAAACAAAUCAUGUCUCCUUGAAAAGGUACUUGUAUUCUAGUUUUGACUUAAUUCAAGUGUAAAAUGACAUUUAAACAAGGAAAUAAACAACAUAUU